UGAGGAAUCUUGCGCAAUGGGCGAAAGCCUGACGCAGCGACGCCGCGUGAGGGAUGAAGGCCUUCGGGUUGUAAACCUCUGUCAGGAGGGAAGAACCCGGAGUCGGCGAACAACCGGCUCCGCUGACGGUACCUCCAGAGGAAGCACCGGCUAACUCCGUGCCAGCAGCCGCGGUAAGACGGAGGGUGCGAACGUUGUUCGGAAUCACUGGGCGUAAAGGGCGCGUAGGCGGGCUCGUAAGUCGGGAGUGAAAACUCGGGGCUCAACCCCGAGCCUGCUUCCGAAACUGCGAGCCUUGAGGACCGGAGAGGAAGGUGGAAUUCCUAGUGUAGCGGUGGAAUGCGUAGAUAUUAGGAAGAACACCAGCGGCGAAGGCGACCUUCUGGACGGUUCCUGACGCUGAGGCGCGAAAGCUGGGGGAGCAAACAGGAUUAGAUACCCCCGUAGUCC
rnacentral:rRNA from 1 species